rnacentral:lncRNA from 1 species
AAUGGAUUUGCUUCAUUUUAUUCGGACAACAAAACAUAGCUUAGAAAGCAAAAUAUAUUUCAUGUAGAUAGUCCAACUGAAGAGAGCAUUUCCUCACAUGUCUGCUGUUUACUAUAAAAUAGGUUUCUAAAGCGGCAAUUACAUGUAGAACAGUGGUGGCCAAUCAGAGAUAUAUACUUGAAUACGAAUUUGAAAAAGCGGCACCAGCAUAUGGAGUAAAUGUGUCUCAAUAUUGAUACGUUACUAUAGAGCUAGCUCAAAGUACAUAUACGCUGAUUUUGUUGAACGAGGAAUACUGCUUUCUCAAAAGUUGCUAAGACAGGGCUAUGAAUCAUCAAAUUAAGGUCAUCACUCAAUUGUAUGGUUGUCAUCAUGAGCUGAUUGGACAUUAUGACAAAAGUGUGUCAGAAAUCAUAUCUCAGGGAAAUUCUUCCUCAGUCAUAACAACCUUCCAUCCUUACCGAACUGAACAAACAAAUAACAUGACGGGUGCCGUAUACGGUACAGGAAAUGCUUACCUUUCCGGAGCACCUGAUUUCAUUCCUGGUUUUUAGUGGAGUUUGUGUUGUUUCCUACUUAUUAUUUGUAACUGUUGGUGCAAAUGUCUUUUGGUUUUAUGAGUCUUUGGUUACUCCUAGGUUUUGAUUGUUAUUGUCUUAUACACGAUACCUAAUGGAUGUAUUUACAUGAUAUAAGCUUAUUAUUACACUUGCAAUAUAUGAUCGAAUAACACGUGACAAGAAGAUUUCAU